rnacentral:rRNA from 1 species
GUCUACAGCCAUGCCACCCUGAACGUUCCCAAUCUCGUCUGAUCUUGGAAGCUAAGCAGGGUUGGACCUGGUUAGUACUUGGAUGGGAGACCACCUGGGAAUACCUGGUGCCGUAGUUG